rnacentral:rRNA from 1 species
UGGGGAAUAUUGGACAAUGGGGGCAACCCUGAUCCAGCGACGCCGCGUGUGUGAAGAAGGCCUGCGGGUUGUAAAGCACUUUUAGUGGGGAGAAAAAGCUACGGGCUAAUACCCUGUGGUCUUGAUUUAACCCAAAGAAAAAGCACCGGCUAACUCUGUGCCAGCAGCCGCGGUAAUACAGAGGGUGCAAGCGUUAAUCGGAAUUACUGGGCGUAAAGCGUGCGUAGACGGUUAUUUAAGUCGGAUGUGAAAUCCCCGGGCUCAACCUGGGAAUUGCAUUCGAAACUGGAUGGCUAGGGUGCGGAAGAGGGAAGCGGAAUUUCCGGUGUAGCGGUGAAAUGCGUAGAUAUCGGAAGGAACACCAGUGGCGAAAGCGGCUUCCUGGUCCAGCACCGACGUUCAGGCACGAAAGCGUGGGGAGCAAACAGG